rnacentral:rRNA from 1 species
UACGUAGGUGGCAAGCGUUGUCCGGAAUUAUUGGGCGUAAAGCGCGCGCAGGCGGUUUCUUAAGUCUGAUGUGAAAGCCCUCGGCUUAACCGAGGAGGGUCAUUGGAAACUGGGAGACUUGAGUGCAGAAGAGGAAAGUGGAAUUCCAAGUGUAGCGGUGAAAUGCGUAGAGAUUUGGAGGAACACCAGUGGCGAAGGCGACUUUCUGGUCUGUAACUGACGCUGAGGCGCGAAAGCGUGGGGAGCAAACAGG